CCUCAGACAUGACAAGUACGAACGUAAUUAAAGCUCUCGUUCGGAGAGUGCAGUAGAGUGGCGCGACGGGUGAGUAACACGUAAGUAAUCUACCUUCGAGUGGGAAUAACGUCCGGAAACGGACGCUAAUACCGCAUAAUGCAGCGGCAUCGUAAGAUGACAGUUGUUAAAGGAGUAAUUCGCUUGAGGAGGAGCUUGCGGCAGAUUAGCUAGUUGGUAAGGUAACGGCUUACCAAGGCUACGAUCUGUAUCCGGUCUAAGAGGACGGUCGGACACACUGUCACUGAAUAACGGGUCAGACUCCUACGGGAGGCAGCAGUCGGGAAUUUUGGGCAAUGGGCGAAAGCCUGACCCAGCAACGCCGCGUGAAGGAUGAAGUAUUUCGGUAUGUAAACUUCGAAAGAAUAGGAAGAAUAAAUGACGGUACUAUUUAUAAGCUCCGGCUAACUACGUG
rnacentral:rRNA from 1 species